rnacentral:lncRNA from 1 species
UCACCUUACCCUUUCAACUUUUUUAUUCCUUUUUUAAAUAUCAAUUGUCCUUUUUUUUUUUUUUUAAAUAAUAGCCUCUUCCCCCUCUAAUUCCCCUUAUAUACAUACACCCAACACUAACACACCCCUUUCUACCUCCCUUCACUCUUAAAUGCACAUCUCUCUCAUCCCCUUUCUCUCCCUAAAACUCCCCCCUGUUGCUGCAUCCAUUUCUAGUUGACGAAUCCGCCGCCAGUCUCGACACCAACAACCAACAUCACCCCCACGCUGCCUUUUUCGACGCCUCUCGCCGGAGGUGAUGACCGGUGAGUUUUGGCUGAACCAUCAUAGCGCCCCCAGUUUAUUUAUUUAUUUGUGUUUGAUAUUGUUAUUUUAAAAUGCUAUUUUCUUUGAUGUUGAUCUUUUCUUCUUAUUUAAUAGAAUAUUAAUAUGUUAUCUUUGAAUGUUUAUUGUAUUUAUCUCCUCUGUUUUGGUUAGCUACUGAUUAGUUUGUUAUUUAGAGUAUUUGGGUGACUGCAUGUUUAUUUUUCCUAAUCUCUCUUUGAUAUUUAGUGUUAAUUAAUUAUUUGGCCAAUGAAAUUAUCUCUCCAUCUGGAUACUUGAGGUUACCGUUAGUUAUAAAAAAAGACGAACUUUAUUUUAUAAAAUUAUUUAUCUUUUGAAAAUAUGUACAUGACUUUGUUUAUCUUUUUCUUGAUUUUAUGGAUGACAUUGACUUUGUGGUUAAUUCAUUUAUUGAUUGCUUUAUUUUUCUUCACAUGUGGCUAGUUCUUUUUUAUUUAGGCCUUUAGAUCAAUAAUAUAUUCUUUUAAAGUUUUCCAACGGACCACAUUUCUACUAGGGUUAGAUACUUUUUGCUACUUGUUUUGGAUUUACUUUAACAUUGUUAUUUUUUGAUGAUUUGAUAUUAAUUUUACUACAAACAUAAAAUAAACACAUGGCCAAUGAAGAAUUUUUUUUUCAUCAAUUUUUAAGGCCUUCAAAAAUAAAAGUCGGAUGAUAUGUAUAUAAAUAUGCAAUAAAAUAAAUAUUUUGCGCAAUGAUGAAUUUUUAUUUUUAUUAUUAUUGUUAUUAUUAUUAUUAUUAUUAUUAUUGUUAUUAUUGAAAACUUUAUCUGAGCCCGCUUUCUCAAUAAAAAUUAUAUUUUUUUGAAAUACAUAUAUGUGCACAUGUCUUUUAUAAUUUAUUUGUUACUAAUAUUUUUAUUGCAAUUGUUUGUACAGGUUAUCGGGAAUACUUGUCGGGAAUGACAUUCAAAGAAGACUUUAAAUUGUGUAUUUGUAUUUUUAUAUUCUUACCUUGUACAAAUAUUAAUUAUAGUGAAACUUUAUUUUUGGGGUGUUGAACGGG